GUUGCUUAUAUAUAAAUCAAAGGGCACAUUUACAUGUGGAUUCUCUCUGCAGUUGUCUUGUUGUCAUCAAUAUGAAGCAGCUUUUUGGUCUUUGUUUGAUUUUUUCUUUAACAUGCACACUUCUUGCUGCACAAAACACGUGCACAACUACAGUCGACUGCACAUGUGCUGCUAAUACUAUGCCACACUGUCACAUGGGACAGUGCUACUGUCAUCAAAUGAGUGGACACGAGUGUAACUUUGACAACGACUGCACAUGCGAUCACAAUCGUACCCCCUCAUGUGAUAACCAUUUGUGUCACUGCUUACAUCACGCUUGAUUUUCCAAUACAUGGAUCAUCAAUCAGCAAAUGAUGCAACAAAACAUAAUUUAAUGUUCGUGAAAUUGUCAAUUGUACAUUAUAAGUAACUCAUGCUAAAAUAAAUAACUUGGAAUGUCA